rnacentral:rRNA from 1 species
UACGGAGGAUGCGAGCGUUAUCCGGAUUUAUUGGGUUUAAAGGGUGCGUAGGCGGCGAGUUAAGUCAGCGGUAAAAGCCCGGGGCUCAACCCCGGCCCGCCGUUGAAACUGGCUGGCUUGAGUUGGGGAAAGGCAGGCGGAAUGCGCGGUGUAGCGGUGAAAUGCGUAGAGAUAUGGAGGAACACCAGUGGCGAAGGCGGCUUCCUGGUCUGUAACUGACACUGAGGCGCGAAAGCGUGGGGAGCAAACAGG